rnacentral:rRNA from 1 species
GUGAGGAAUAUUGCGCAAUGGAGGCAACUCUGACGCAGCCAUGCCGCGUGCAGGAAGAAGGCGCUACGCGUUGUAAACUGCUUUUAACCGGGAAGAAACCCCAGGACGUGUCCUGGGUUGACGGUACCGGAGGAAUAAGCACCGGCUAACUUCGUGCCAGCAGCCGCGGUAAUACGAAGGGUGCAAGCGUUAUACGGAUUCAUUGGGUUUAAAGGGUGCGUAGGCGGAGCGUUAAGUCAGUGGUGAAAUCCUGCAGCUUAACUGUAGACUUGCCAUUGAUACUGGCGCUCUUGAGUGCGCUUGAAGUGGGCGGAAUGUGCCGUGUAGCGGUGAAAUGCUUAGAUAUGGCACAGAACACCAAUUGCGAAGGCAGCUCACUAAGGCGAUACUGACGCUGAGGCACGAAAGCGUGGGGAUCGAACAGGAUUAGAAACCCGGGUAGUCC